CGGGACGGGUGAGUAACGCGUGGGUAACCUGCCUUAUACAGGGGGAGUAACAGUUAGAAAUGACUGCUAAUACCGCAUAAGCGCACAGGAUUGCAUGAUCUGGUGUGAAAAACUACCGGUGGUAUAAGAUGGACCCGCGUCUGAUUAGCUUGUUGGUGAGGUAACGGCCCACCAAGGCGACGAUCAGUAGCCGACCUGAGAGGGUGACCGGCCACAUUGGGACUGAGACACGGCCCAAACUCCUACGGGAGGCAGCAUG
rnacentral:rRNA from 1 species